GGACCCGCACAAGCGGUGGAACAUGUGGUUUAAUUCGACGACAAACGAGUAACCUCACCAAGGUUUGACAUGUAGCUUCAAAUCCCAUGAAAGUGGGACUUCUUCGAGAGUGCUACACAGGUGCUGCAUGGUUGUCGUCAGCUCGUGCCGUGAGGUGUACCCUUAAGUGGGGUAACGAGCGCAACCCCUAUGCUGUGUUAUAUUUUCACAGCAGACUGCCUCGGCUAACGGGGAGGAAGGUGGGGAUGACGUCAAAUCAGCAUGGCUCUUACACCUUGGGCCACACACGUGUUACAAUGGCUAUUACAACGGGAAGCCAAAGCGCAAGCUGGAGCAAAUCCCAUCAAAAAUAGCCUCAGUUCGGAUUGUGGGCUGAAACUCGCCCGCAUGAAGCCGGAAUCGCUAGUAAACGCGUAUCAUCUACGACGCGUUGAAUACGUUCUCGGGUCUU
rnacentral:rRNA from 1 species